rnacentral:rRNA from 1 species
UGAGGAAUAUUGGACAAUGGACGAAAGUCUGAUCCAGCCAUGCCGCGUGCAGGAUGACGGCCCUAUGGGUUGUAAACUGCUUUUAUACAGGAAGAAACACUCCCACGUGUGGGGGCUUGACGGUACUGUACGAAUAAGGAUCGGCUAACUCCGUGCCAGCAGCCGCGGUAAUACGGAGGAUCCAAGCGUUAUCCGGAAUUAUUGGGUUUAAAGGGUCCGCAGGCGGUCUAUUAAGUCAGAGGUGAAAUCUUGCAGCUCAACUGUAAAAUUGCCUUUGAUACUGGUAGACUUGAGUCAUUGUGAAGUGGUUAGAAUGUGUGGUGUAGCGGUGAAAUGCAUAGAUAUCACACAGAAUACCAAUUGCGAAGGCAGAUCACUAACAAUGUACUGACGCUCAUGGACGAAAGCGUGGGGAGCGAACAGGAUUAGAUACCCUGGUAGUCCACGCCGUAAACGAUGGAUACUAACUGUUCGACCUUCGGGUUGAGUGGUUAAGCGAAAGUGAUAAGUAUCCCACCUGGGGAGUACGCUCGCAAGAGUG